AGCGAACGCUGGCGGCAGGCCUAACACCCCCAAGUCGAACGAACUCUUCGGAGUUAGUGGCGGACGGGUGAGUAACACGUGGGAACGUGCCUUUUGGUUCGGAAUAACUCAGGGAAACUUGUGCUAAUACCGAAUGUGCCCUUCGGGGGAAAGAUUUAUCGCCAUUAGAGCGGCCCGCGUCUGAUUAGCUAGUUGGUGAGGUAACGGCUCACCAAGGCGACGAUCAGUAGCUGGUCUGAGAGGAUGACCAGCCACACUGGGACUGAGACACGGCCCAGACUCCUACGGGAGGCAGCAGUGGGGAAUCUUGCGCAAUGGGCGAAAGCCUGACGCAGCCAUGCCGCGUGAAUGAUGAAGGUCUUAGGAUUGUAAAAUUCUUUCACCGGGGACGAUAAUGACGGUACCCGGAGAAGAAGCCCCGGCUAACUUCGUG
rnacentral:rRNA from 1 species